GAGCCAGUUACUCAGUGUUGCUCGAGGUGUGGUGAAGGGUGCGUGCGGCCGGUCUCUCUCCUCAACCUGGUACUCUGUUCACCAUACAGUGGACACGUCGUCACCAUCGUCUCCCUCUGCUGACAGCGACAGUAAAGACUGAUGAACCUGCAUGACCUGAACACAUCCAUGGGCCCCAGCAGCUGACCACGACCACCACAUGAUCCACAGCCCCAGCAGCUGACCACGACCACCACAUGAUCCACAGCCCCAGCAGCUGACCACGACCACUACAUGAUCCACAGCCCCAGCAGCUGACCACCACAUGAUCCAGGGCUCCAGCAGCUAACCACAACCACCACAUGAUCCAGGGCUCCAGCAGCUAACCACAACCACCACAUGAUCCACGGCCCUGCAACUGACCACCACAUGAUCCACGGCCCUGCAACUGACCACCACAUGAUCCACUGCCCUGCAACUGACCACCACAUGAUCCACGGCCCCAGCAGCUGACCACGACCGCUACAUGAUCCACGGCCCCAGCAGCUGACCACAACCACCACAUGAUCCACAGCCCCAGCAGCUGACCACGACCGCUACAUGAUCCACAGCCCCAGCAGCUGACCACAACCACCACAUGAUCCACAGCCCCAGCAGCUGACCACCACAUGAUCCAGGGCUCCAGCAGCUAACCACGACCACCACAUGAUCCACGGCCUUGCAACUGACCACCACAUGAUCCAUGGCCCCAGCAGCUGACCACGACCACUACAUGAUCCACGGCCCCCAGCAGCUGACCACAACCACCACAUGAUCCACAGGCCCAGCAGCUGACCACAACCACCACAUGAUCCAGGGCCCUAGCAGCUGACCACGACUGCCACAUGAUCCAGGGCCCCAGUAGCUGACCAUGACCACCCCAUGAUCCAGGGUCCCAGCAGUUGACCACUACCACCACAUGAUUCAGGGCCCCAGCAGCUGACCACAUUAAUACAGGAAUAUAUAUAUAUAUAUAUACCUUGCACAUUCGGCACUCCUGCAGUCAGCUGUCAUAUAUCAUUGUGUCCAGCACAGUUAGUCUCUCCAGCUUACCACAGCGACGUGAUACCCCAUCAUACGCCAAGACUCGCUGCUGCGCCUGCUGCAACCCAUCUUUUUGAUCCAACAUAAAGUGACCCUCAACUUAUGCUUAUUCUUUAAUUCUCUUCUGAUCUUCCAUUUGCUGCCCUUGACCCUCCACUAGCACCCCCCUGACCCUUCCUGGUAGUUUCUAACCCUCUCUUGUGGUUCCUGCUUCUACCCCUUACAGCUCUUGCCUUCUCCCAAAAUUGGAGAGCUACUGGCAGUUUGUAAGGUGCUGCCAGCUCCAGCACUGGGGCUCCAUCCACCAUGACAGUGAGCUAUACCUCUGAAGUAGCCGACUGCCAUGGCUUUGGCAACUUCUGGAGACUCUUAUUCAGAUGGCGUGGAAGUGUGUACAAACUGGUGUGGUUGGAGCUGGUGGCCUACACUGUGCUCUACUCUGCUUGUUCAGCAGUCUACAGGCUCGCUUUAAAUGAGGAGGGCAGAAGGCAGUUUGAGAUGGUGUCCCGCUACUGUGACGUCUUCAGUGACCUCAUUCCAGUUGCCUUUGUGCUGGGCUUUUAUGUGAGCAUCGUUAUUCGUCGGUGGUGGGAGCAGUACAAGACACUUCCCUGGCCAGACACCCUCUCCCUCUUCAUCUCCACCUCCAUCCAUGGCCAUGACCGCCAGGGCCGUCUCAUGCGUCGAACCAUUGUACGCUACAUUAACCUGUCAUUCGUUCUUACCCUCACUAUGAUCACUCCAAGAGCCAAGAAACGGUUCCCCAGCUUGGAUCACAUUGUGGAAGCAGGCUUCAUGACGGCAAAUGAAAAGAAGAUUUUUGAGAGUUUGGCAGAAAAGACAGUGUACUCGCUGUAUUAUCUUCCCCUGGUGUGGGCGGGGACACUUGUUGCACGUGCUAGACGCGAAGGACGCAUCAGGGAUGACUUUGCUGUCAAAACCAUCAUAGAUGAACUCAACAACCUGAGGGGCAAGUGUGGCGGCCUUCUCAGUUAUGACUGGAUCAGCAUACCACUUGUCUACACACAGGUAGUGAGUCUGGCAGUGUAUACGUUUUUUUUGUCAACCAUCAUGGGGCGGCAGUUCUUGGACCCGGCACAAAACUACCCCAAGAAUAACAUCGACUUUUACUUCCCUUUGUUCACCAUAUUGCAGUUCUUCUUCUACAUGGGCUGGCUCAAGGUUGCAGAGAGCCUUGUCAACCCUUUUGGCGAGGAUGAUGAUGACUUCGAGGUCAACUAUCUCAUUGACAGGAAUAUCCAGGUGUCAUAUCUGAUUGUAGAUGAAAUGCAUAAUGAGCACCCAGAACUGACACAAGACAUCUACUGGGAUGAGGUGUUUCCUCAGGAGCUUCCCUACACUAUUGCUUCUGAGCAGUUCCGCAGAGAUCCUCCUUUGGGCAGCACUGCUAACUUACAGGUGCCCGAGGCUGAGCAAGAGUUCCUUCCAAUGGUGGAUGAGCAACCAGAGGAUGAGGAAGAUGAAAAUGCAAGCUCUGGGUUGAUCUUCAAGAGGCGUGAAUCGGCACGCUCAGUGGGAUCAUCUGGGAGGAAGAGUUCUGUUAUGUCAAUCCUGCACAACCGCCUUUUUCAAAAUACAGGGGGGAGUCGGACAUCACUCAGAAGAAGCCACAAGGUGCUGAACAGGUCGGUCUCCCGGGCCUCUGCUGGAUCACCUAACACUAACAUCAAGAGAAAUAAUACCAACACCUCCUUGCAGGAUAGCAACAUGUUUCGUAUGUCGGAUGACUCCUUGGUGACAAUGGGAGGAAAGGAGGAGCGAGGUAACUUAAAACAGUCCCAGAGACGUUCUGCUGCUCAUCCCCACGCCACCAACAUUCACGAGGACGAAGAUGCUUUACUUGUUAAAAUCAAACGCUUUGAUAAAGAUGGACAGGAGGCAAGAGGCUCCCCAAGUGAGAUAAGAUGGGAGAGUGCAACAGGCAGAGGGAAAACAGAACAUGCACCACCUUCAUUUACCUCUCAGAUAUCUGGAAGGAGCCAGAUGGACGACACCAAUAAUGACGGCUUAAGGAAAGGGAGCAUUGAUGGAAGUCUCUGUUCUAUUACUACCUCCAUCUUUCAUGCUGUCGAUUUAGGUUCCACUGAUUAUGAAACCUCCGAUAACCAAGCCAAGGAAGUCAGUAAACUGGCUGGCAUCCCCUCUGCAAGCAACAAAUAUAACAAGUGUGGUAGUAAGGACGUUGCUCAGAAGUUAGUGGACGAUGACACAACAAAGGGAGCCUCGACGACCGUGACCUCAGGAGCCUCGACCAGCUUGACCACAGGAGCCUCGACCAGCUUGACCACAGGAGCUUCGACCAGCUUGACUGCAGGAGCCUCGUCCAACUUGACCACCGAUGACAAGGAUACCAUCACAAAAUCAGCAGUGACAAAAAGUGGUUAUGGUAUUUCUUGGGACACUGACAAGUCGCAGCUUUGAGGCAGACAGCAGCCACCAGGGAGGUAAACAGUAAGCAGAAGUCAACUGGGAAAUCCUCAUUCAAAACUAUCAAACAAGUUCCCAUUUUUAGCCACAAAUCCAAAUUUGUACAAAGCAGACAGUAAUCAAGACAAAUCUCUGAUGAAGACAACGACCUUUUUGGAUAUAGCAAACAAUACAUUAAAGAGGAAGUGCAUGGGACGUAUACACCACUGCAAUCCCGUGGAUGGGAAGUAAAUGGUGAAGAUGGUGUCUCACCCCCCAAUGGGGAUUAUCUGGACCACUGUUCUCAGGUAGGCUGCUAUACCUGGCUGAAGCGCUAUGCGUGUUAGUGGCUUUACAAGAAUGUAAAAACAUCAAUGCUGUGUACUCUCAUAAACCCAAUGUACCUUCUUGUAUAUAUAUAAAUAAAUAAAUAAAUAAAAUUUUGCUUUCUGGUCAGACCUGAUACUGCUGUUUGAGGUUUUUCCCAGCCUAUCCUGCUAAAGUGAAAGUACUUAUAAUAACUCUAUGGUUGAAAGUACAGUACCAACCUAUAGUGAUGGACCACGAGAAAGUCGACUUUUGUAUAGUUGAAUUUUCACAAAUCAAUUUUUUUUAACUAUUACAUAAAUAUAAGAGCUAAGCUAACCUCUCCUAGCAAUCCUAGACUUAAUACAGGCUAUCUUAGGCCUAAUACAGUACAGUGCAUAUACAGUAAGUGAUAUACUAAACCUAGAAAUAUAUAAGUACAGUAUUUUUAAGGUAUAUUUUUUCUGGACUCUAUCAAAUUAACAGUAUAAAAGGAAGUUUACUGGUGGUCCAUCACUACAUAUUGAUACUUUCUACCAAAUAAUUACUAUAAGUACAGUACUAUUGUUAGGAUUAAGGUAUUUUGUGGGAUUAAAUACUACAUAGGUGUAUAAUGUUUUGAGCAGAUGCUCUUUUUGGAUGCUCUUUUGAUGAUGUAAACUGUUCACUCUUUAUUUUACAGUUUGCCUGAGGUAGUGAUUUUCAUGUAAUGAACUUGGGUUGUAAUACUAAGAAGUUUGGUUAAUAUAAAUUUACCUGUAAGGUAUAUGAAUUCUUUUAACUAAUUGUUACUUGGAGUUGCAGAGAUUAGUUUUGUGUUAGCUGUAUAUUACAGCUUCCAUUCUUAUGCUAGAGAUAAUUUUGGUGUUUGCAAUUUGUAGAACAAGAAUUCACAACAAGCUAUAGUUUGUAUUUUAAUAAUAAUGCUGUAAUGUUUAUUAUCAACAUGUUUUAAAUAAAAAUCAAAAGGUCA
rnacentral:misc_RNA from 1 species